ensembl:lncRNA
GUGUAACUAUACAUGUUUAGUGUAUAGCUGAGGCAUAUAGUGUAUAGUGUGCAUUGUGUAGUUUAUAGAAAGAGUGUGUAACGUGCAGUGUAUGAGUGUUUUGUAUGCACUACUACAAUAUGUUUUGCAUUGUGUAGUGUAAUAAGUGUAGUGUGUAAUGUAUGUAGAAUAUGUUGUGCAUUGUGUAGUCUAAUAAGUGUAGUGUGUAAUAUGUAGAAUGUGUCAUGUAUAGUGUGUUUAAAGUAUAGUGUGUAAUAUGUGGAAUGUGUAGUGUAUGGUGUGUGUAAAGUAUAUGGUGUAAUAUGUAGAAUGUGUAGUGUAUAGUGUGUGUAAAGUAGUGUGUAAUGUGUAGAAUGUCUAGUGUAGUGUGUGUAAAGUAGUGUGUAUUAUGUAGAAUGUGUAGUGUAUAGUGUGUGUAAAGUAGUGUGUAAUGUGUAGAAUGUGUAG